rnacentral:rRNA from 1 species
AUGGAGAGGGUUAGGACCAUUCUGACUCAUGGAUACCCAUACCCACAUGAGCAUUCGAGACAUUUCAUGAUUAGGAAGACUAUCAAGCCACACUAUUCACACUUUAGUCGCUGGUACGUUGCUUGGAUAUUCUUGGCAGCAUUAUGGCAUCUCCCUAGUUUUCAGUCAAUGGGGUUGGAUUUGAGGAUGAAUCUUUCCCUCUUCCUCGCUGUUUAUAUUUCCUCUCUAAUCAUCUUCCACGUCACAUUUCUUGGACUCUGGUAUUUGGAUCUUGUUUCUCGCAUGGCAGAGAAAAAGCCAGAGAUGCUUACUAUAAUCAAAAAUUGCGCAGUGGUAAGUAUAGCUUGCUGCGUGUUCUACAACCACUGUGGUAACAGGACCCUUUCAAGGGACAAAUCUAUUGAUCAUAGAACUGCAUUUUCACUGUGGAUAAAGCAAAAUGAGUACAAUACACUGAUUUCAAAGCUAUGGCGUAUGCAUAAGUUUAAAGAUCAUAUUUGCUCGCCCUGGUUUGCUCCGGUUGGCUUUGCCAGUGAUUAUCCACUUCUAUCGAAAUGGGCCAUUUAUGGAGAAUUAGCUUCCAAUGGAUCCGAACGCUCCAACAUCAUUUCACCUGUCUACUCUUUGUGGGAUACAUUCAUUGGUCUUUACAUGGCCAAUUAUGUCGUGGAGCGGUCAACUGGCCUCCUGCUUGGUAUACGCCUGAACACGUAA